AAUUUUGCYACAUAUUUACCACACAUCUUUUUAGUGGCCUUUGGACAGGGACUCAGGUUUGCACCUGAAUGAAAUGAUUCUGUACAAACACAGUAAACUGAAGCGUCUUGUAAAGGGUUGGAAGCAGAGGGGAGGAAAAAUUGGCUUUAAAGCUAAUUAAACUGAAAUAUGGAUUGUGCUACAGAGUACCCUGAACUUCUCUCUCCCUCUAGAUACUCACACAGCUCUGAUUACAGUAACAAAAUGUCCUGAAUGCAAAACUCAAAUCUGGGGACUCUGUCUAGUUCUAAUUAAGUUCAGAAAAAAGUUAAAGCCCUGAACAAGUUAAUUCCAGACUACAUUUUAUUAGACGGUCUUUUGACAGUAAGUUUUAAUAACAUCGAGACUAGAAAAAGUAAUAGUUACAUCUUASCUUGGGACUACAAGGCAGAUCAGUUUACGUAAUCAUGCAGAAGAUGUAAAGCAAAUAGGACAAACCAGAUUCAGGCCGUGUCAUGUGCUUUGGUGUGCAUUAAAUGUGACUACAUUUCCUCCGGUGUGCUGCAGUGGUUGAAGCUGACCUGGAUUGGGUGUGGAAAAA